GUAAAAAGCAGUUCUGGGAAUUCAAAUUCCUUAUGCCCUAGUUAAACAUUAUUAGUCAAAAGCUACUGCUCACUAGAACCCCUUUCUAGAAAUCUAUCCUGUAAUACUGCAUAUAUAAUUCUUACAUCUUUAUCUAGGAUAUUUCCAAUUUUCAAAUUUGUAUAUGUGACCUAAUUAAACAAAAUAGCUCAAGAGGACUGAUAUUCUAAAUAACUAAUUCAUAAAUGUUGCUAAAAGUGGUAUAAUUUUAUAAUUUCCUGAAGAGAAACUAGACAAAAUUUCCUGUAACAUUACAAAUCUUAAAAGAAACAGGGUAGUUUUAAGUGUGACAGAGUUAAUUCAUGAAUGAGAUAUAUAGACUAGAAUACUCAUUUUUAAAAAAUGUUUAUUUUGAAGCAAAGGAUCAUUAUCUCAAUCUUUAGCUUGUACCUGGCAGCCUGUAUUUAAAGGGUUUAUUCUUCAUGGUGAUGGGGUGGGGUGGAUGUAGCUAAGAUAGCAGUUCCAGUUUUACCACUUUUAUUAAUUUUGUGCUGGGGUUGAAGUGCUCCACAGGAAAAAAAAGGAGCAUUGUUUCUAUGAACUGUAUAAAGGGGAGGGAAGGAGGAAAUGUUAGAAGGAUGAUUUCUCAAUUUUAUUUCUUAAAAGGCACUCUUGUGGUUGCAUUUCCUCCAAACCCAACCUUUUGUGUUCAGUUUGAUUAAAAUGCAUCCUUCUUGGUCUAACAGUAUCUGGAAAACUCGAGAAGGCUUUUUCCUAAACCAUCAGUAGGUCAAGCAAGAAAGUUAGCAGAGCUGAUUCUGCUGAUGUACCUUCCAUAACUGACAGUAUUCAUCUUUGAAAUGAUCAAGCCCUGGUAUUUUGACUGAAAAUGUGAAGUCUUUUAUAAGGAAAUGAAAAAAAUCUACUAAUUUUUUAUAAACACCCUAAAUUCUGAGUUUUUGCAUACAUGCCACUUGAUCUUCAUAAUUAUAUCAGUAAUACCACUGCAUAAAAACAUCAGUCAGAGGAAAUCUAAUUUAAUGUGAAAAUAGCUAUUCUGAGGAGAGGUGGGAACACUGAAGAGGUUCUGGAGUUACACAGACCUUCGCUAAGUACCAUCUCUGUCACUUACUAGCUUCAUCAUCCUGAAUGACUUAACUUCUCUGAGCCCAACCCUUUCAGUUAAUGUGCACAAAUCACCUAAAGUACCUAGUACAUAGUAGGUGCUCAAUGAAUGUUAGCUAUUCCUACCCUUUUGACAAAGAAACCAUUAGCUAGUACCAAAAUGAUAAUGGAGUCUUCCCUUUCCACUCAUCCUAAAGCAGGUAUUCAUGUCAUUCCCUCUUUUAUUUGGGCUUCAUAUUUAUCAACUGAGUUUUUGCGUACCUACAGUUGCCAGGUAGUAGGCACUGAGGGGGUCAAAGAGAGGCAACGUUGACAAGUGUCUUAGCCUGCUUUGUGCUGCUAUAGCAACCUGAGACUGAGUAAUUUAUAAAUAACAGAGAUUUAUUACAGUCCUGAGGGUUGGGAAGUUCGAGGUCAGGGGGACUUUUAUUUUAUAUGAGGUCCUUCCUGCUGCAACAUCCCAUGGCAGAAGGUAGAAAGGCAAGAGAGAAACCCGUGAGAAAGAAAGAAGGGAAGAGGGCCAGAACUCUUCCUUUUAUCAGGAACCCACUCCCAAGGUAAUGGCAUUAAUCCAUUCAUGAUGGCAGGGCACUUGUGACCUAAUCACCUCUUUAGGAUCCCACCUCUCAAAACUGUUGCAUUGAGGAUUAAAUUUCAAACACAUGAAAUUUGGGGGACACAUUCAAACCAUAGCAAUGUCCAAGCCAGUCUUUGCCCUAGAGAGGAAAGAGCACUUGAUGAUGUCAUCAGCUGAGACAAUAGCAGAAAGGAGAGCACAUCAGUGGGCUUGAAGGUGGAGCACCGAUAGACUGCAUUUCAGGUGAGUUGAGUUGGAUGGGGUCUGGGGAUAUGCAAGCAGAUAUGCCCUACCGGAAGUAGUUUUUAAUGGAUCUGUAGCUGUGUAGGGGGGCAGGGCUGGAGAAAGGCAUUUGGGUAUCAUGUAUGUUUGAGCUAUGAGUGGUGCAUAUAUUCUGACACUGCCAGAGGUUGGUCAGGGAGCCUAGAAGACUGGGAAGAACUGUGGGGUGAGAAGAAAGACCAGGGACACACUACUGCUUGGGAAUGGGAGAUAGCAAGGAGAUUUUCUGGGUGUCCCCUACAACCCUCAAAAGCAUUAUCUGCAGGUACUUCGGUUUUUAAAAUUAAUAUUAAAAUAACAAAUCCAAAAAUGUAUUUUCCUUGAAUUGAGAUCAACUAUAAAUCUUAUAUUCUAUUUAACAUUCUCUAAACUCUGUCAAUCUUCUGAAGAGUGAUCUUUUAACUUGGUUAAAGUAGUAGACAUUAAACAUUUCAAUAUAGCAUUAAAUACAGCAAAAUUAUCUUAACAUUUUUAACUUGAAAAUACAAAGUCUAAAUCAAUCAUCCAAUGACAUAUUUUAGAUUAGAAAUCACAAGGCUAAUCAUAUUAACACAUUAUCUUAAACAUAAUGAAUAUCUAAAAUAUUAAAGACUUUUCCCCAAACUUAUCUAAAAGUAUAAAUAUUUUUAUUUUAUUUAGUCCAUCAUAUUUACACUUAAAUUUUAAGUUUUCCCAUGGUUAGAACACUAUAUUAUAAGGAAAUAAUUUUGCUUUCCCCCAAAAUUUGGGGUUACCUUCUUAGCGCAUUUUCACUAGCAAGUUAGCCUGGGAUUUAGGAUCUAAUUUUCCCUAUGUAUACUUGAACGGACACUCUAUACUUUACGAAGGGUUCAGUCUUCUCAUCUAAGUCCCCAAGAUUUAAAUUACUUGUUAUCUAAUUCUCAAGUCAUCUUUGAUUCUGUAACCUUCCACAGAUUACCUUGCCAGUUGACCUGAAUCAAUGAAUAUGGUUACCAUUUAAUCCUACUCAGAAUUCUUUGCACACUCUUCCUUGCAGACAUAACUCAUAGAUAGUAUAGAACAUACAACUGGAUUCUGCAUCAUGAAAACCUCAGGGUCAAACUUGAUAAUAGAUGAUAGAAAAAUAGGGACUGGUCAUAGAAGUAGGAGAAGAAUCAGGAAUAAGAAAUGUAAUAGCAUAAAAGCAUCAAAGGAAAGGGAGAAUUUCAAAAAGGAAGACAUCCUCAAGAUCAAUAGCUUGAAAUGUAGCAAGGAGGUUUUUAAAUUAAAGGGGUGAAAUAUGACCAUUAGAAUUGAUCAGUGAUGUUUUCAUGUCACGAUGUGGACUAAAACCAAAUAGCAAUAUGUUGAGUGAACUGGAAUGGGAAUUGCAGUUAAAGGCAGCAAUUACUCAAGAACUCUUUAGGACAUUUUAUUUUAUAUUAUUUUAUUUUUAAAUAAGGGAAACAGAGAUGGGGCAGUAGCCAACAGGCUCAAAGGAAGACAUAUUUAUCUUGUAAGAAAUAAAUUUUUUCAACACCCCUUACCCCCACUUUUAUUUGGUUAGAGUUGAUAGAUUCAGGACAAAGACAGAAUUAAUUGGUGAAGCAAUAUCCCAGAGGAUGGAAGAUAAAAGUUAAGUCCACAUGAAAAAGUUGGCCUUGAACAGGAAAAGGAACACCUUAUCCUCUGAGAAUGAAGAGAAUGAGGAAAGGACUGAUGCAGAUGUAGAUAAAUUUGUGGACAUGGGUAGGGCAGGAGGCUGAAGUCGCUCAAGCCUAACUGCAUGACUGUCGCAAGUCCUAGCCAAUGCCUGCCAGGGGCACACGCAGUAUGCAGCUUCCCCAUUUCCAAGAACCGAAAGAAUGUGGACUAAGAUGAUGACAGCUCCAGGAACCAGCCCAGACGGAGCCACUGGAGAGCUUCCCCAUAAGGUAGCCAUACAUAUUAAUCACAGAUCAAAUAAGAGAAGAAAUCCUAGAUCCUUCUAUCCAACUCAGAUUUCUCACUUAAAGAAAAUGAGGCCAGAGGUUAAGACAGGCUCAAGGGCAGUUGCUAGCAUCUCUUAAGCUAGAAACCAGGUUUCUUGCCCCCAGAAUGAAGUCUCCCUUUAUUUUUUAAAAUUGUAUAUAGCCAAUUUUCUCCACCUUUUCCCCUGGCCAACUUUUCUUCAUUCUUCUACUUUUAGCACUUCACUUUCUCUGAAAAGCCUUCCUUGCCUUCUCCCUUCCCUCCCCUCUCCCAUUUAAAUCAUUUAAACAGGAUCCCAUUUAAGGAUAUUAUAUACCUCUUUGAUCUUUCCUUUGUUGUUCCACAAUUUAAAUUCUAUUUUUAUUUAAGGAUUAUUUAAUGUUCCUCUUUCCCAGUAGAUAUUACAGGGAUUCUGUUCACUUCUGUAUCCUGACCAUCCCAGAGUAUAAUGCUUAGCUUGUAGUUAGUGCUCAAUAAAAUUACGUUUAUAUAUGAAAUUAUAUUCAUUCUAGAAUACAUUUACAUACUGUUAAAGCAAAAUAAGCAGGGGGUCAAAAGACUGAGGCUGUCUCUGUGCUUUGAAUUCCUGUAUAACAAACUGUAAGCUAAUUUAGUAUAUAAACAAAUGAAAACUUAGGAGAAUAUUUUUUGUAACAAAUAGCUGGGUUUCAGCCAAUCAGAUGCAGCCAACUGACCAGACCAUACUCAACUAUGGCAAAUACCUAGCUGUAACCAAUCAAGUUAUUUCUGUAUUUUACUUCCAAGUUUAGCCAAUGUAAGCUCACUGCUCACUGUGGAGCAGAACUUGGAAUCUCUUUUGGUUCUGAGUGCUACCCAAUUCAUGAAUGGUUCUUUGCUCAAAUAAACUGCGAAAUUUAGUUAAUGUUUUUCUUUUAGAAACAUCAGGUACGUGGUGUGGGAGUAUAGAAUUCAAUAAUUUUAUUUGCAAAUUAAAGUUCUCUGUUUGUGAAAAAUAUGCUGUGGGCUUUCAGGAAGGCUGACAUACUUUCUUCCUAGUAUAUGGGAGAUGUUGAAUACAUAUUUGUUGAGUGAAUAAUAAUUUCUGAACUAUCGAAGUUUUAAUUUAUGGAAGAAAACCACACAUAGCCACUCAAAAUAAUUUAAAGAUCUUUUCUACAUCUCAAAAAAAACUUCUUAGGUAAGCAAAAUAAGAUUCUUCAAACAAUGUAAUUUAGAAUAAAUAUUAGGGUUCACCAAAACUUUGAAAAUAACUGGCUUACAAUGAAAAUACUAAGCAUAUAACUAAGGUAGCUCCGGUGAUAAUUUAUAACUAGAGAACCCAAUGUUUAAUUCCUAAAGUUUCACACUUUUGAAGCUUCUGAGCCAUCUUCUCUUAAACCCGACUUUCAGAUAUAAAAUGAACUCACCAACUUUUGGUGCAGAAAAUUCAUGCAUUUGCAAGUAUUUAAUAAGAAAAGCCAUCACCAAUGAAAUGCCUCCACCCUUUUCACAGGGAAGGUAAUUUGCAAACACAUGCAUGAAGAUUAGUACCAUACAGUAGGCAAAUAUUUUCCAUGUCCCACCCAAAGCAAACAAAUGAAAAUAGAAACUUCAAGGACAAUUAUAAAAUAUCUUUAAAUUUAAAGACACAGCACCCUUUUAUCCUUUGGCUCCACCUGUACCUUUAUCAGAAACACACAUUUCUUAAUCAGUUCCAACUGGGAAUUUCUAGCAGGAAAACAGUCUCAGUUGAUUGUGAGGUAAUUGAUUUUUUUCUUACAUUUCUUUACUCUCAAAACUUUAUGAAUCAAAAAACAAAUGGCUAGAAAGUACUAAUCUGUUGGUUGUAGAUAUUAAGAAACAUAAACAAGUUCCCCGGUAGUAGCUCUUAAUUAUAUCUACAGAUGCUAUGUUCUAACUCUUUCAUGGCAGUUUUAAUUUGGGAGAUGUUCAAUACAUAUUUGUUGAGUGAAUAAUAAUUUAUCACUGAAUCAGUGAAUAUCAAAAUGUCCCAAUGUUUAUGCAUACAAACUGUAUCUCCCAAAGUGUCAUAGUAUUGGCAUAAAAAUGCUUUGCCUUAUCCAUUUGGAAGAGAAUAUGAUCAGCGUUCUUGUGGCAAAGCAGAUAAUGGGUCUGUGUGCAGAUAUGGAAGGGUCAAGUUAUGGAGAACAUCAACCUUUGAGUUUCAGAGCAGACUGACUCAAAUAGCUCAUCCUGUUGUCCAUCCAACAUAUUUUGCAUUUCACUAGAAAAUUCAGUAACUAUAUGUCAUACCAAGAAUAAUAUAAGUCCGAUAGAUUAUUGCUUGGUCUGGGCAUAGCUGAACGAAAUGAGAAACAUAAAAUUUUCCAGGUACUUCUGAGGGUGCACAUAUACAGUCCAGGUCUGGGUUAUAUAGAGAUAAUACCAACUCUUUUAAUAACCCUCCAGGGCACAACAAUCUUGUCAUCUUGGAAUUUUCUAUGUGUUGUCUUGUAAUUUUCUGAUUCUAAGAUCCACUGGGGUGUGGUUCAGUCACAUUCCUUCCUGUUCUACUUGCAAUGAGGGUCUACUGGCUGCUCUUCCACGCUUUCUCUCCUUGACUACUACACAGUCUCUAUGUGAAGUUGGUAUUCAAGAAGCUUAUUGAGAAAUAAAUUUCUGCAUUUGCGAAAAGAACAAUGUAAGCUUACUGAAAGGCAGACUUACAGCUGACUGAGGAGAAAAUAAUUAGUGCUUUAAAUUUCUCCCUAUAUCAUUUAGUCAUUCAUUGCUUAAUAAUGGGAAUAUGUUCCAAGAAAGGUGUCGCUAGGUGAUUUUGUUUUUGUGCAAACAUCAGAGUGUACUUAUACAAACCUAGAUGGUAGAGCCUACUACACAGCUAGGCUAGAUGGUACAACCUGUUGCUCCUAGGCUACAAAUCUGUACCGCAUGUGACUAUACUACUGAAUACUGUAGGCAAUUGUAAACAUAUCUAAACAUAGUAAAUGUACAGUAAAAAUACGGUAUUAUAAUCUUAAGGCACCAACAUUGUAUAAGAGGUAUAUGACCCAAACGUUGUUAUGAGGUACAUGACUGUAUAUCAAAAUCCUAGUUUAAUACAAUUUAAAGGAAUAUCAUAGUUAUGAGGCUUAACGUUUUUUCCGAAUUUUAAGAUAAAAAAUAUAAAUGCAUUACAUGGAUACUUAAAUAUUUAAGGCAUUGUGAACCCGCACAGAAUUAACUAUUGGAAAAGAAAACUGGUUUGAAAGACUUUAGAACUGAAUCUUACACAAACAUAUGUGUGUGGGGGGGUAUACAGAGUCUAAAACAUCAAGCAGAUGGUAACGUAAAUAAUGUCAAUGUUUAGGAUAUGGAAAAUGUUCAGUUGAAAUAAAUUAAUAAAACACUGGAAACAAACACACCAAAUUUGCAAAAUGGGAGGCAGAGAGCAGAAUAGUUUCCUAGAGAUAGCAGCUCAUUUAGACGAUGAACACCAGAUGCCAAGUGGAGCUCAGUAGAGACAAAAGUGUCAUGAUUAGCUUCAGGGGAGGAGAAGAAAAGGACGAGGCACCAGAGGUGAGAUCCUAACACAGCCCUUUGCAGGCUGGGGCAACUCCCUAAUUGCCCCUGGGGAGCUACAAGGCAAGGGACAAAGUAGCCAUCAUUUCUCAUUUCGGUCAAAGGAGGAGGUUUAUAUCACUGAACAGUGAUUCAAAAGCCUCCAUCUGGCUGAACCCCACAACAUGAGGGGUUGACAAUGUGAAACACUGCUCCACGCCCAUAGUCAAGCCAGGGUUGGCUGUGUCUCUGUGAGAUAUGAAACAGUCCCUGAGACACACUGUGUGAAAAGGACCUAUGAGAAUUGUAGGACCAGAAAGUGUUGAAUAUAGUUGUGGGAAAUUACUGACAUUAUCAACAGAUUAAAGUUGAACGGCCAUGCCAUUUCCUUCCGGAAGUUCGGGAUAUUGGUAUUUUGUUGCAAGUGGGAAGGUACCUACUGACAUGCCCUGAACCCAAAGUUCAUUUCCCCAGCAUAACCAAUUAGGCAACUAACUUAUUCCUACUGUAUGUGUGAAAGACAGAGAGAGAACAUGAGCGAGCUCCUGAGAGUGCUGUGUAAGUACAAACCACAAAUGGGAGUCUUUCUUUUCCCCAAAUUUUAGUGUUGCCUCAGAUCUGAAAUCUAACUGAAGCCUGUCAAUUGUUGUACUGCAUGUUUCACAAUGCAUGAACGUGAUACUGGACACUGACUCUGAGUUCAAGCACAAAUUUACUGGAGGAGAAAGACAUAUUUAUUUAUGAGGCCUUCCAAGUAAAGCCAAAUUAUUCACAGAUACAGUGAGUGCUAGAGGAGACUUUGCUUGUAGGAGAAAGAAUUCUAGACCACAAGCCAGUAUAUCCCUUGGUUCUAGUCUUGGUCUUGCUCUUAAUUUAGGGUUAUGUGACUUUGGCCACCCCAUUAGUCCUUCUAGACCUCAGUUUCCUCAUGUGUGAAAUGAAGACGUAGAACUAAAUGAUCUCUAAAGCCCUUUUUGGCUCUAACAAUCUAGAAGAUAUUCGGAAGAGGGAGCAAUCAUUUUAGGACAGAGGAUCAGAAGAUUCUAUGAUAGAAGAAGGGCAGUUUGCUCUUCUGCAAAGUCUGCUUUCCCUGACUACAAAAGUAAACAUGAGAGUUGCAAAAACUCGAGUACAGAAAUGUCAAAUAUAGUUUGUAAAUGCCCCUAUAAUCUUCACUGUUAUUUGUUUAAAAUUUAUUCUUCCAGCUAUUUUCUGUUAAGAGCUAAUUAUAAUCAUUCCUAUUUUAUUAAAAUGAAACACUAAGUGCAUUUUUCUUCAACAAGUUUUUAAAAACUUAAGACUAUAUCCUGAAUAUUUCUGUCAUGUCAUUACACAUACAUCUCAUUUUUAAAUCAGUGCAGAGUACUGCACUGUAUCUACAUACUGUACUUCUUUUUCUGAGAUGGAGUCUCACUGUGUCACCCAGGCUGGAGUGCAAUGGCAUGAUCUUGGCUCACUGCAACCUCUGCCUCCCGGGUUGAAGCGAUUCUCCUGCCUCGGCCUCCCAAGUAGCUGGGAUUACAGGUGCCCACCACCAUGCCCAGCUAAUUUUUGUAUUUUUAGUAGAGAUGGGGUUUCACCAUGUUGAUCAGGCUUGUCUUGAACUUCUGAACUCAGGUGAUCUGCCCACCUUGGCCUCCCAAAGUGCUGGGAUUACAGGUAUAAGCCAGCGUGCUUGGCCUACAUAUUGUAUAUGUUGAUGAUAUAUGGAUUUUUUUCAUCACAAACAAUACUGCAAGAAAACUUGUAUACCCAAGUCCUAAUAUUCAAUCUUGACACCUCUUCCCUCACUUCCCAUUUCCUAUCCCAUUACCAGGUACUGGUGAUCUUAUUGACUAUCCUAGGAACCCAUCCACUUCUCACUCUAUAAUUGCCUCUACUUUAUUCAAGAGGAGAAUCAACAUCUUCUUCUGCAAUAGUCCCUUAAUUGAUCUCUUCUCUCCCAGUCUUGCCUUCUUCCUACACAGCAGCCAGGGAUGCAAAUCUUAUUACUCCUCAGUUUAAAACCUUCAAUAGCUUCUCACUGUUCUUAAAAUAAAGACCACCAACUAUAAGGUUGUAUUGUCUGCAAUUUGCUAAUUUAUGGUAUGUCAGCGUAGACAGUUUGGAAUUUAUGAGUGUGCUUUUAAUCUGUGCUUUAGGAUGUAGAUUAAAUGAGUUGCCCCAACAGGAAUAUAUAUUCAGAAAUGAAAUAUAUUUCAGAUAUUAUAUUUCAUUAAUAUUUCAGAUAUAUUUCAAAAUAUAAAUAUAAUAUUUCAGAAACGAAAUAUAAUCAGAAGGCAGAGAUGGCUUGUACAGGUAUGCUAGCCUCAUUAUUUCCACUCAACACAAAGGACUUUAUGAGUUUGCAAAAUGGAUGUUAGAAGUUAUUUUUCCUUGGUGAAAUCAGUUUUGUAUGAGUGUGGACUGGCUAGAAAUAGUGUAGUGAGAGGCACUCCCACUCUUGCAUCAACAAUGUGAUUACAGCAAUCCAGUAUCUUUUACCCUUCCCAAUGUUCCUAGUGCUUGUUUCUGAGAAAUGGCUCAUUCAGUGGCCGGUUCAAAGCAUUCUUGCUGCUUAAAUUAAGCUCUUAGGUGACCUCAACUCUUCUUCUAGAAGAGUGUCACAUUUGUCUUUCAUGAACUUUCCAUGAAGAUACAGUUGGAGAAACCAAAAGAAUAGAAGGAGGGGCCUCACCAAGCUUACAGGACAGGAUGUAUGAUUGUUUUUAUUCCUGCUUACUAAUCAAACUUGGAUUGUGAGGGUGAAUCGAACCCGAGACCAAGUGUUGAGGCUGUGAGGAUGGUUUCUUUAUCCUCACCCACCUCCAAAUUCUGGAGUUUUUAACAUCCACUGAGAGGGACCUGGUAGAUAUGAAGGACCAGGUUAGCUGAGGUUGGUUUUUAGCAUGUGGUCUGCAAGGCCUGCAGGAUGAAGCUACUGUCUACUUCUCUUGGUACUCCUCGUGCUCAAGACAUUUCUCAGAACACCAUCCCCCCAAGCCAUAUCAGCAUGCCCUUCGCCCUCCCCUCUCUGGGGCUCCCUUUGCCGGGUAAGAGUCCACUCAUCCUGUGGAUCCCAGCUGGACAUCCCUUCCUCAGGGAAGCCAUCCACACCAGUAUGGUUAUUGCAUCAAUACCUGUCUCCCACCAAGAUUGUGUCCAGGUCCAUUUUGUUCACCUUUGUAUCCUCACCACCUGGCACGGUGCUUGACCUCCGCAGAUGCUUGUUCAAUAAAAGGGUAUUUAGGUUUUAUUCUACACAUUGAUAGAAAAAAAAAAAGCUUUUUGUGGCACUAGGUUCACUAAUUGGAAUGGGCCCUCCAGUAUAAGAACAUUUUACAGUAAUAUUUUUUCAAAACUCCAAUUCACAAAAUGAAGAAUGGAGAAUAUACUAAAUAUGAAAAGUGAGGCCACGGCCCUCUCUUUUAAAUGUUAUAAAUGCCACCUUUGUUAUUUUGAAAACUCUUCAUGGAACUGAGAAUCAAGAAAAGGUCACGUUCUUGAGCUUUAAUUUCUCCAUAUUUUACAGUUUUCUUUAGUCUCCCUACUUAUACUGUGAUCAUUUCAGCAUGUAAAUAAGUUCUGCUUUCUCUGUGAACUCCACUGUUGCUUCCUUUCCUCAAAUUCAGUCCUUGGCAUCCUCUCUGCCUCACACUAAUACAAACAUGGAAUUGAUUAUAGGUUUUACCCUAACAAGUUCUUUACAUGCUUGGGGUAUAUUUAGAAACAUUUGAAACUAUCCCUGGACAGAUAUUUAAGUAGACAAUUUCAUAAUGAGGAAAUUUACAUCUCUAGUUAGAAAUUCAGGGGAAAUCCCAAGAGUUUAAGCUUGAAAGCUUCCUGCUAUUUCGUGUGGCUUUUAUAUAAGGUCAAGACGAGGGGAGCCAGGAGAAGGUGUGUGUAGUUUGAGCCCCUCCCUCAUUCUUUCUUUCCAUCCUGUACCUCCCAUUCUGCUCUAGUCCAGAUGUAUUUUACAUUUGAGAAAAUGGGAGGCCAUAGAGGCUGAGACUCAGAUUAUUUAAACAUUUACUAAGGGCGGGCUGUGCUAGGUAGACACACAUUAGAGGAAGUAGUUAGCGUCCCAGUUUUACAGAUGAGAAAACUGAAAUCCAGGAGUAGUUAGCGUCCCAGUUUUACAGAUGAGGAAACUGAAAUCCAGGAAUUUUAAGUAUUUCUGAGGUCCCACAACAAAUGGCAGAGCCAAAAUUCAAACCCGAUGAGAGUCCAGCCCUCAUUACCGUCUCUUCUGGGGCAGCCAGGCCUGACUCCAAGUGGGCCAUAGCUUCUCCUCUUUUGAGACUUACACAAGAAGUACAGUGGAACAAAUGGCUUAGUGAUGGAAGAAAAUACAACCCCCACACCCAGUUUCUUUCCAAAGGGCUCACUUAAACUGAAUAGAGGGUAAGCACCUGCAGAGGUGAGUACUGAUUUAAUGCAAACAAAUGUGCAUAUGAUGCUGUCAUCUGUGUUUGGGAGGAUGAAUCUCAUAAUUUCUGACUUAUGGGCGCGGGUGUACUUGUGCCUCGCCUAGUCAUACCUGCCAUUAGGGGACCUGCGAUGUGCUCCAGCCGUGGAUUCUUGAGUUUGUAUUUGUUAGCUUGUUUUGCUUGUUUGUCUAGUUAACUCUUAAAGGGCAAUUGCCUGUCAAGGGUUGCAGUUUCAGUAAUUUUAUUCUCUAAAGCUAUUUUAGUUUUUUUUUUUUUUGGUUAUAUAAAAGUAACACUCCUUUUGCCCCAUUAAAUCUUUGAAUCUAGGCAGAUUCAAAGGCAGAGGGUAUUAAGAAAACAACUCUCUAGCUCCCUCACCAGUGAGCUGUGACUUCUCUAUCUGCCUUUGUUUUCAGGCUCACCUCCCCAGCGCCACAAUUUAGCCCUGUGCUGCAGCACCAGGAAAUACUUGUGUUUUAUCUUCCAACAGAGAAUGCAUGGCAUCAACAGUAGUGCCUGAACUCAUUUUACAGCAGGGGGAUCAGGCUUGGUGGGGCCUCUGCCUGGGCUGCAGUGGAUCUCUUCCAUUUUUACUAUGUCCACCCCUAGAACACUUGGCUUCCUUUGCCAAAACCAAAUCCUGGUGAGCAUCAUAAAACUUGUCUUGUCAAGUUUAAAAGAGAAUGCAGAUAAAUUGUAACUGCAAUCUUGACGGUCUAGCCAAUUAACUCUGUUUUAUUAUUCUCUUUGGAAAUGACUAUAGCAUUAAAUGCGUUUGUCACAUGCCAGGUAGCCAGCAAACCAGGAUUCAAACCCAGGUAAUGGCGGCUUUAAAAUGUGAACUCUUUCAACUUCCCUACACUGCUCACCAGUGGCUGGGAGACGCUGCCACAGGGAAAGGAACAGCUCUGAAGUGGUUGAGUGAAAAAGCACAGGACAGGAAGGUUAUAGACAUGGGUCCCAGCCCUACAACAACCUCCAACUUAUGGGAGAUCCUUUAAGAGGUCCCAUUCUCUCUUUAGGCCUCAGUUUUCUUAUCCAUAAAAUGAGGGGUUUGGACCACUGAAGACCCCUUCCAGGUCAUGAUUCUGUCAUCUACGGACUUUUUUUUUUUUUUUUUUUUUUGAUACUGAGUCUCGCUCUGUCACCUAGGCUGGAGUGCAGUCCAGGUUCAUGCCAUACCCCUGCCUCAGCCUCCCGAGUAGCUGGGACUACAGGCACCUGCCACCAAGCCCGGCUAAUUUUUUGUAUUUUUUUAGUAGAGAUGGGGUUUCACUGUGUUAGCCAGGAUGGCCUCGAUCUCCUGACCUCAUCUAUGGACAUUUUUAAAGCCUCAGCUUAGUUGCUUAAGAAAUAGGCUUAGAAAUUGAAUUGAAAAAAAAUAAAAAUCUUUUCAUCAUUCAAAGAAACAAAGGAAUGGACGGCAAAAUUGCUCACAUCAUUUGAAAUUUGAAGUGUGGUUUGUUGCCAUUGGGAUCAACAUAUGGAUUCAAUAAAAUAAGAAAAUCAGGCAGGGGAGGAAAUCAGUUUUUAAUGAGGCAUUUUCAAUUUUCCAUGAAAUAAUUACUUCAAACCACCAAUAUAAACUUUGAAGCAUCGUUCUGAAUUUGGCACAGUGUAUAUGAAAAAAGUCAAACCAAAGUAAACCAAAGACUGAUCAGUUUGAUAAUCUCCUCCAAAGACCAAAUAGAAAACCUGCAAAGUGCUUUAGUUGGACAGAUAGAGAAUUGUGCUUGGAGCCAGCAGGCCUGGGUUCAAGUUUUGGCUGAAUCACAUCUCCAAGUCUGUGUCCUUAACUAUGAAAUGAUCAUCAUAAUCCUACCUACAUAGAUAUCACAGGGUUGUUGGGAAGGCCUAAUAAACAGAACUACAUAAAGAACUAUUUCAUUACAAAUAAUUGCCUGCCAAAAAAAUUUCCCCACUAUUUACAUGGACAUACAGAUUUGGAAUUUAAAUGUUUGAAUUACCUCUUAGCAAAAGCUGAAAAACUGCUAUAAUGAAAAGGAAUGGGGGAAGCUGCCUUUAAACAAACAACAAAACCACAAUCACCAAAAAGUAUCCUUCUUUUACAGUAGCAAAGAAUUGCAAAGAUAACAUCCCAGCCUGAAGGUUGGGAAGCACAGUUCAGAACUUGACAGUCCAGAAUCAUGUUCACAUUCUCUCUUUAUUCCCUUAGAAGAUCUGGCAUCGAGUCCCAUGGAAGGUGCUUUGAAAUGCCUCCCAGAUUGCAUCCUUCUCCUCUAUUUCCUCCAUCUUUUCCUUGGUCUGAGUUCUCUUCACAGGACAGCUAAAGGACAGCAAAGCCUAAGCAACAACCAGGGUCACUGCUGCCAGGCCAGCCUCAGUACUGCCCGAUUAACCUUUCUAACAAGCAGACUUCAUCAGGCUCCACAGCGAUUCCAUCAGUCUCACAUAACUUCCUUUUACUGCCAAAAACGCACCCCUACUCUAGUCCAGCAAUCCCUCCACUUGCUUUCAUACCUGUGGCAUUGAUUCCAGCCCAGCGUCCAAGCUUUCACUGUUCUCCCUGCCUAGAAAGCUCCUCCACCCUCAUGUAAAGGACCUCUUCAAGAAGAACUAGAAACCACUGCUUAAGGAAAUAAGAGAGGACACAAACAAACAGAAAAACAUUCCAUCCUCAUGGAUAGGAAGGAUCAAUAUCUUGAAAAUAGCCAUAUUGCCCAAAGUAAUUUAUAGAUUCAAUGCUAUUCCCAUCAAACCACCAUUGACAUUAUUCACAAAAUUAGAAAAAAAGCUAAUUUAAAAUUAAUAUGGAACCAAAAAAGAGUCCAUACAGCCAAGACAAUCCUCAGCAGAAAGAACAAAGGUGGAGGCAUCACGCUACCUGACUUCAAAUUAUAUUACAAGGCUACAGUAACCAACACAGCAUGGUACUGGUACCAACACAGAUAUAGAGACCUCAGAAAUAAGACCACACAUCUACAACCAUCUGAUCUUCAAUAAACCUGACAAAAACAAGCAAUGGGGAAAGAAUUCCCUAUUUAAUAUGUGGUGCUGGGAAAACUGGCUAGCCAUAUGCAGAAAACUGAAACUGCACCCCUUCCUUAAACCACAUAGAAAAAUUAACUCAAGAUGGAUUAAAGACUUAAAUGUAAAACCCAAAACCAUAAAAACCCCAGAAGAGAAUCUAGGCAAUACCACUCAGGACAUAGGCAUGGGCAAAGAUUUUAUGAUGAAAUCGUCAAAAAUAAUUGCAACAAAAACCAAAAUUGACAAAUGGGAUCUAAUUAAACUAAAGAGCUUCUGCACAGCAAAAGAAACUAUCAUCAGAGUGAACAGGCAACCUAUAGAAUGGAGGAAAAUUUUUGCAAUCUACCCACCUGACAAAGGUCUAAUUUCCAGAAUUUAUAAGGAACUUAAACAAAUUUACAAGAAAAAGACCAAACAACUCCAUCAAAAAGUGGGUAAAGGACAUGAACAGACACUUCUCAAAAGAGGAGAUUUAUGUGACCAACAAACAUAUAAAAAAAGCUCAUCACUGAUCAUUAGACAAAUGCAAAUCAAAACCACAAUGAGAUUCCACAGCAUACCAGUCAGAAUGGUGAUUAUUAAAAAGUCAAGAAACAGUAGAUGCUGGCAAGGCUGUGGAGAAAUAGGAACACUUUAACACUGGUGGUGGGAAUGUAAAUUAGUUCCACCAUUGUGGAAGACAGUGUGGCAAUUCCUCAAGGAUCUAGAACCAGAAAUACCAUUCAACCCAGCAAUCUCAUUAUUGGGUAUAUACCCAAAGGAAUAUAAAUAAUUCUAUUAUAAAGAUACAUGCACAUGUAUAUUUAUUGCGGCACUAUUCACAAUAGCAAAGACGUGGAAUCAACCCAAAUGUCCAUCAGUGACAGACUGGAUAAAGCAAAUGUGGCACAUAUACACCACAGAAUACUAUACAGCCAUAAAAAAGAAGCAUGAUCAUGUCUUCUGUAGGGACAUGGAUAAUGCUGGAAACCAUCAUCCUCAGCAAACUAACACAGGAGCAGAAAACCAAACACCACAUGUUCUCACUCAUAAGUGGGAGUUGAACAAUGAGAACACAUGAACACAGGGAGGGGAACAACACACACCGGGGCUGUAGGGAGGGCAGGGGGAGGAGAGUAUCAGGAUAAAUAGCUAAUGCAUGCAGGGCUUAAUAUCUAGGUGAUGGGUUGACAGGUGCAGCAAACCACCAUGGCACAUGUUUACCUAUGUAACAAACCUGCACGUUCUGCACAUGUAUCCUGGAACUUAAAAUAAAAUAAAAUUAAAAAAAAAAACCAAGCUAAAAAAAAAAAAAAAAGAAAGAAAGCUCUUCCACCCUCCUUCACCUAUCUUAAUACAAGUCAUUUCUCCAAGCUCCCUUUAGUGCAGGGCUCUGCAUUUACUGUGGUUAUGCAAUCAUCUGGGAGAUCCUGUUAAAAUGCAGGUUCUGAUUCAGUAGACUGGAGGUGAAGUCAGGACUCUGCAUUUCCAACAAGCUCCCAGAUGGUUAUGAUGCUGCUGGUCCAUGGACCUCACUUCGAGGACCAAAGCUUACUGGCUUAUUGGAAAAAAAUGGAAAAGGAAUAGUUUUUUGAGAUACAUGGACAUGGGUUUAAAUGUCAUCUUGAUUAGGUUUUAGCUGUGUGACUAAGGGCAAAUAACUUCCCUUGUAUAAUGGGAAUAUUACUUAAUUUAUAUAAAUGACGUGAGGAUCUUUUGAGAUAUUAACAGAUACUAUUCUAAAUAGGGCUUUCUCUUGGCUCCCCUGAACUCAUCACUUCAUCCUCUAUUAAGCUUCUCUGAUUAUCCAGUCUUACUUCUCUUUACUUGGAAUUUUAUUGCUUAAAUAACAUGUGUGCACACUGCAACCAUAUAUAAAUGAGACCAUAUGUUCUUUGAGGGCAUAAUCAUGUUUGAUAUUUCUCUUAGCAUAUAAAUCAUGAAAAAGUUUUACUAAAGUUUGAUUUUUUUUUCACGCAAAACUCUGAGCCGUAUAAUACUUAGUAAUACCACCACCCUUCACUGCAGCAUUAUGUAGGGAGGCAGAGCUCCGUCGUGGUACUGAGCACAGGCUUUGGAGUCAGACACACCCAAGUCCCAGUGUUGGAUUCAUCACUCACCAUCUGUCCUGCCUAAUCCAGACUAACAUGUCUGGUUCUCAGUUUCUUCACCUGUAAAAUAGGAAUUUUGCCUUAACCUUCAGUGCUAUUGUGAGAAUUAAGUUAGACAAGUUACAUAAGGUACGAGGUGUAUAUUAUAAAUUGUGAAAAAGGCCAUGAUUCUCCAUCCCUCCCUGAAUCCAUGCCAUUUUCUAAUGUAACGUUGCAGUUCCUCCCAUUAAAAAGUGGGGUCUAUUUCUCCACCCCUUGAAUCUGAGCUGGCUUCUCGAGUUGCUUUUGAAAUAGACUGGAGUAGAAGUGAGUUGUGUCAGCUUGAAUUUAGGCCUCAAGGGGCGUUGCUUCCAUUCUCUCUUGCAACCAAGUUGAGCCAACAUGUGAUGAACCCAGGCUAGGCUGCUAAAUCAUGAAAGACGUGAGGCUCAGCUGCUCCCCACGUGACAUGGCCGAUGGUCCGCCAAUACUCAGAGGCAGAGCUGCCUUGGUGUCCACAGAUGCAUGGAGGAAACUGGAAAAGAACGUAAUUUGCCCACCCAAGCCCACCCAAACUGCUUAUCUACAGAAGCACAAGCUCAAUAAAUGGUGGUUAUUUUAAGCCAUUACGUGUGGGGUGAUUUGUUACACAGCAAUAGAUAACUGAUACUGAAUAUAUAAGUAAUUUCUCAAUAAACAGUGGCUAUGUUUUGGACAAUAUUAUACUUAAUAUAGAAUGAGUUUUUCAUAGUACUAACAUUUGUGCUUUUUAGUCAGAAGUAGGAACAUGACUAAACCAGGAAUUGGGACUCUGAGAUUCCAGUCCCAGCAGUUUUUCCAAUGGGCAGCUGUAUGACUUUGGACAAAUCAAUUAACCUCUUUGAGACUCAGUUUCCUCACCUGUAAAUUAAGGUGGUUAGACCAAGUAACUUUUAAGGUUCUUUUCCAGCUCUAAAAAGGAUCAAGGGUCCUUUUUACCAAAAGGCAGUACUUCUUCCUUUCUAACAGAUAGUUUUGAACACAAUUUAAUGUUUUUCUUGUAGACUUAGGGUUUAAUCACAGACCACCUUCACUGUAUUGUCUUUGCUGCCUAGCAUUUGGCUGUAACCACAUUUCAUACUUAUCACAAGAGCUGUACAUUGAAACUAUAAAGUAGAUCUUGCUGUGGACCAGGAACCCAGGUAGCCAAGCUCAUUAGGAAUCAGAAAUGAAAUAAUGCCAAAUAAGUUCUAGUGGGAAUCUUAAGUAUGUGACUCUUAACAACAAUUUGAAGGUGCAGGUGGACUUCUUUUAUGCAUUUCUAGGUUACAAUACAUAUUCUGGAGGACUAAGGUUGUUGACAAUCUGACCAAAUAAAAGCAGUACUAUUUCACAGCUAUACAGAAUCAAAUCUUUGUAUUUAUUGCACGUUAAUAACCAAGAUAUAUGAUACUCAGUUAUCAAAUGAGGGAAAACAACACCAAAAUCAAAUUUCAAAACUCCUGUGUGUAGACAUCUACUCCACAACUAGUGAUCAAGUGAAUAAAUUUAAAAUACAUCCAAAUACACAUUGUAUUAAAAAGCUAUGCAUGCGGCAAUGAGUCAAUAACCAAGGUGACUUUUGUUUGUUCACAGGCAUUAUGUAUAGCCUCUCACACGUCACUAAUACUCUUACAAAUAUAAUACAGUCCUCUCUGUGACAUACAGCAGGCCAUGUUGUGGUCAACUGAAAACAAUAAAAAAGAAAGGCUGUUCUACUGUCCAUUUCCACUAGUGUUAAACAAUCAAAUGUCAGGGUGUUUUUACUCCCAGAAGGAGUUAAGCUAAAUCAGAGAAUGUGUAUAUAAUAUGAGGGCAACAGUUUACUUCAGCUUUGCCUUCAGAUGUAGAUAUUUAAGUCUGUAGAAAGAAGCACUAGGUUGUUGAAAAUGUGAAAUAUAAUUGGCUAUUUAUCAGAAACCUUUUUCUGUGAUUAAAAACCAUGAGGAGCUCUAGAGGAACUAGAAUCCACAUGAACAUUGCAAUGAAAUGUGGCUUACAUUUAUCUACCUAGAGAAAAUGUAUUUUGAAAUGACAUGUAAAUUGACGUCAGAGAUUCAAGUCAAUUAAUGGGUUCUUACAGUUAAAAUCUUAAAUACCAGUGCUUCUUUAACUAUCUUUCGAAUCAGUUCACUUCUCUCUCUCCUCUAAUUUAAAUUUUUGCCGCAGCUGCCUUUGGUCUUGGUUGUAUCUUUCCUGUUUCAUUCUCAUUGCAGCCUGCAUGAACUCUCUAAAAUAGAGAUCUGCUGUGCUUAAGAUCCUUCAAUGGUUUCUCCCAAGAUAUUGGGAUCUCUGAAGACAAGGACUGUGUCCCCAGAAACUCAUCGACUCUCUGGUGUCUCUGGGUCUACGCACAUGAUGUCUCCAAGGCCAGGUCAGGGUUUUAUUAAAUUUUGUAGAACCACUUGUACACUGAACAGAACAGAGUUCAGCACUUCUGAUAAAGUUUGAGUGAGAUACAAUAUUCCUUUUGUCAUUUGUUAAUAUUCAUUGCAGCUCUGGAACAUCUUUUCUACAAUGCCUGACAACACUGAGUCAGAGUUUUAAUUUUCUGUUUCAGGACACGUAUUCAUUGGCUUGGUGUUUUACGUAUGUUUUAGGAAAGGAUUAUUUGAUAAUCUACAGUCCUGAAGAUUUUAACUAACCUCUGUGGGACUAUGAUAUUCUCGGGUGAAAAGGGUACAAGUAGAUGAGCGAUUUCAUUUUCAGUUUAUUCUCUUAAAUAGCAGUCAGAGUAAGAAAGGCUACAACUGGAGACACAGGAUGGCUCAAUGGUUAAGAGCAGGCACUCGAGAAAGACUACAUCUGACCUGCACAUAGGUGAAGACUCCAAGUCGGCUUCCCCUAGGAUGACCCCUUUAACUCAACUCUUUUCUACACACCUACAAAGUCUCUCUGUAAGCAUGUAAUCUAAUGACCAAAAAGAAUGACCAAAAAGAAAAUCUGCCUAAUGACCAAGAAAGAAAAGCAGGACAUAGGUACUAGUUACUAUUUAACCAAGACUGUAAAAGAUCCCAAGAUUCAGGGUUACCAGAAAAAUUGUGUAACUAGGGGAAUGUGAAACACAGUCUAGGGAGAGGAAACCUAGCUACUGGAAGGCUGGUAUUCAAUUAUUUGGAAACUGGCGUCUAUUCCAAGAAGCACCGUGAAUGGGCUUCCGGGCACCAAGAGCGGGCUGUUCUAGGAGGAAAGGGGCCGGCCCUACCUGUGCUCUGCCCUUGGGCUGCAAAUGGAUUCUGGCCGGAGCUUAGCCAGGUUGUAUUUCCGGCUCAGAGAGGGUCUGGGUGGGACGUCAAGGGAAUCAUUCCAUGUUUAGGAUAAUGGAACGUGUUGAGUUGGUAUGCAAGGUUUUGUCUUCAAUCCCAGAUAUCCAAAAAGCUCUUUGAAACACAGGAAAGAUUGGCCCUAUUUCUCUUUAGGUAUCAUUAUUUAUCUAAAUCUCCGGAGCCAUUGAGGACCAAGAUCAUACUUGCUGAAUAAAUGCACGGAGCAGGAUCAGAGGAUAGACACAGAAUGGGCCAAGAAGAGAAAUAUUAUUCCUCAUAAGAGCUUGCUUGAUUGCAACCACCAAGGACAUCCACAAACCAGGGCAAGAAGGACCAUCCGUAAUUCUUUCCCAUAAAUAGUGACAGGAAGAAAAUAAACGCCCUAUUCUUCAAUGAUUUGAACCACCUCUGGAGCACAAACUUUCUCUAAAUUCACAGGGCAAAUAUCCAUCAUGGGGCAGGUAUCUAUGCUGCCAUGGAAAGUAACAUAAAAUGUACUAAGUCAUCACAGGGAGUUUUAAUUUUGUUUUUAAGGUCAAUUGCCAUGCUGGGGUAAAAAGCAUUGAUCCUUGCCUUUUAUCACCGGAAAAAUUCUUCACCAGUACUUUGUGAAAAUCUCGCCUCAUCAGGGCUGCCAAGGUCAAUGCAACCUAAGUAACCAAGCUGGGAGAUGCUUGCCUAAUUAUUAAAUAUUUAGCAAACAGUUUGUGACUAUUUAACUGUUUGCACCUGGCACCCUCUUUUCACUACGUGAGGCCUCCUGGCACCCUGACCUCUUCCCCCACCCCUACCCACUGCCCAGGCCGCCAGCACCCCUGGGGGGCAAAUACCGGGACCCAAGGGCAUUUCAAAGAAACAGCAGAGGUCACAUUCCAUUUCCUUUUUAUUAAAAAACAUACUUAAAAUGGGGGAGGAGGGCACAGAUCUAAGGUAAAAUCUCUUGCAGUUUUUUCAAGUUCGCAUGCACCGUUGAAAGUUCAUUAGUUAGGGAUUUAAAAGCAAAAAUGUUUCACACAACCAAUUAAACGCCAAGCUUUACAAA